GUGUUUUGCUUCACCGUUCAUCAUAAAGGCUACUAAGGGAAUUUUUUGUUCCUCAGUUAGGUCUAAGACAUAGAAAAACUUCUCUAUCUGCAAGAUCCAUGCUUCGGCUACUAAGGGGUCAGGGCACCUUCAAAGUGUAGCAGGUUAAGUUUUCUAAACUUCGCUAUGUUGUGAGAGAUAAACCUCUCGACUAUUCUAUAUUCCAUAAUAGGGUGUUGACAAGGGUUGGCUUGGUUCUGUCAUACGACUACUAUCAAUCCUUGGAUAGCUUGGGAGAGUUUGGU
rnacentral:lncRNA from 1 species